GCAGGGCCAGUUGGGGAUGCCAGGGCUCGGAGAGUAAGGGAGGAAAUUCACAGAGAGGUCUUUUGAGGGCAGUUUAAACACUACAAGUUUAAAUGGGUUAAACAAAUGCAGGUGUGGUGUGGUGUGGCUAUUUUGCCAAUGGCUGGUGCUCCCAACUUCACUCUUUCCCAGAGAUAUUAAAGGAAAAAAUUCAAGCAAAAAUCAGUUAUGACUUUUAAGUGGCAGAUAACCAGCGGGUCACCUUCUGAAAGCUGUUUUGACUUUGUGAGCCAGAAGGUCCUUAUGGAGUACUAGGCAUCAGCUAAGAUCCUUGGAAGGAACCAGAAUGCUGCCCAAGGAGUGUUCCAAGGACCAUGUGAAGUGUUAAAUAUGGGGCAUGAAAAUGGAGUUCACCAUGGACAUGGGUCUCUUGAGGCUACAAGCCUCUGGAGUGGCAGGACCAAUCAAGAUUCAAACCAUCUGACUAUGAACAGCUGGUUCUGAAAAAGCAGAAUCUUUUCUUUUGGAGAGGAGGAGCUGAUGUGGAACUGCAUCUCACAGUUUUUGCCAUCACCAGGGACCUGGGAGACCUGAGAACAAACCCUGUUAGAAAUGACUGAGAUACUUUUCCAGCCUUUUCCAUACCUGCUUCAUUCAGCAGCAGAUACACAUCAUCUUAAUUUUUGUGCUGAUUUCUUUAUAGAAGCUCUUAUUCUCUUUCAUGCCCCUCACUAGUUUUAACUUGAGCUUCCAUUUGACUGGCUGUGUUCCAUUUGUUGUGUCAUGCCUGGGUGAUGCUUCUGUGGUCCUCUCAAGGAGCCUGUUCCCAUUUUC